rnacentral:lncRNA from 1 species
CGCUGGUUGCUGGGGUUUCGUUGGACGCUGCUCGAGCGUGGACUGAAGGCACGCGAUGGAUGGACGAAGACGCUGGAAUCCGUGGCCACUGGAGCUUCGCGGAUGCUUUUGGUCAACAAACCGGGGGAGAGUUCCUUUGUUGACCGGAGAUGAGGAGAGACGGACGAGUGGCAGCACAGCGAAAUCCUUGGGUCUUCGGUGGCCAUUUGAACCAUGCACGUGGAUGGACUGAAGCUCGAGUGGGCUUCGCU